rnacentral:rRNA from 1 species
UGGGGAAUUUUGGACAAUGGGCGAAAGCCUGAUCCAGCAAUGCCGCGUGUGUGAAGAAGGCCUUCGGGUUGUAAAGCACUUUUGUCCGGAAAGAAAUCCUUGGCUCUAAUACAGUCGGGGGAUGACGGUACCGGAAGAAUAAGCACCGGCUAACUACGUGCCAGCAGCCGCGGUAAUACGUAGGGUGCAAGCGUUAAUCGGAAUCACUGGGCGUAAAGCGUGCGCAGGCGGUUUGCUAAGACCGAUGUGAAAUCCCCGGGCUCAACCUGGGAACUGCAUUGGUGACUGGCAGGCUAGAGUAUGGCAGAGGGGGGUAGAAUUCCACGUGUAGCAGUGAAAUGCGUAGAGAUGUGGAGGAAUACCGAUGGCGAAGGCAGCCCCCUGGGCCAAUACUGACGCUCAUGCACGAAAGCGUGGGGAGCAAACAGGAUUAGAUACCCUGGUAGUCCACGCCCUAAACGAUGUCAACUAGUUGUUGGGGAUUCAUUUCCUUAGUAACGUAGCUAACGCGUGAAGUUGACCGCCUGGGGAGUACGGUCGCAAGAUUAAAACUCAAAUGAAUUGACGGGGUCAUAGCUGUUUCCU